rnacentral:lncRNA from 1 species
UCCGCCUCGAGCGUGUGCCGGGUAGGGGACACCCUCCACAGUUGGCAACCGUUGGCUGGUUGUGAACCGUUCAUAACGGGCGUUCGUAACCACGCCCUGUUAGACUGAACGUGGUCCACCCGCGAAGCCUCAGAUGGCCAAGUGCUGGAGUCCUGGCUGCGGCUUCUGAGCCAGGCCUUGGCAGGCAGCUGCUGACAUGCCAGAGCCCUAUGAAGUAUUGAAGGCACCUGGGGUUCAGGCCCCCUGGAAGCCCAGCCCUCCCUCACCCUUCGGGGACACUGGAACUGGCCAAAUGAGGAUGGCUGCUGGAGGAGGAACAGGAAGCCAAAAUGGGCAGUGACUUGUCUGAGGCCUUGCCAGCUUGAAGAAGGAAAUGUCUGCUGAACCCGUCAGUGGCCCUGGUAAGGCCUGGUGCAUUGCAAAUCACUGGAUGAAAAUGGUGACUGACCAGGUACAGUGACUCAUGCCUGUAAUCCCAGCACUGGGAGGCCAAGGCAGCUAAAUAAGUUGAGGUCAGGAGUUUGAAACCAGCCUGGCCAACAUGGUGAAACCCUGUCUCUCCCCAAAAAUACAAAAAUUAGCCAGGCAGGGUGGCAUGCACCUAUAGUCCCAGCACCUCAGGAGGCUGAGGCAGUAGAAUUGCUUGAACCCAGGAAGCAAAGGUUGCAGGGAGCCGAGAUCCACUCCACUGGGUAACAGAGCAAGAGUGUCUCAAAAAAAGGAAAAACAACGCCAAAUGUCCA